rnacentral:rRNA from 1 species
AGAGUUUGAUCCUGGCUCAGGAUGAACGCUAGCGGCAGGCUUAACACAUGCAAGUCGAGGGGUAUAGUUCUUCGGAAUUAGAGACCGGCGCACGGGUGCGUAACGCGUAUGCAAUCUACCUUUUGCAGAGGGAUAGCCCAGAGAAAUUUGGAUUAAUACCUCAUAGUAUAGCACAACCGCAUGGUUGAGUUAUUAAAGUCACAACGGCAAAAGAUGAGCAUGCGUCCCAUUAGCUAGUUGGUAAGGUAACGGCUUACCAAGGCAACGAUGGGUAGGGGUCCUGAGAGGGAGAUCCCCCACACUGGUACUGAGACACGGACCAGACUCCUACGGGAGGCAGCAGUGAGGAAUAUUGGUCAAUGGGCGCAAGCCUGAACCAGCCAUGCCGCGUGCAGGAUGACGGUCCUAUGGAUUGUAAACUGCUUUUGUACGAGAAGAAACACUACUUCGUGAAGUAGCUUGACGGUAUCGUAAGAAUAAGGAUCGGCUAACUCCGUGCCAGCCGCCGCGGUAAUUC